rnacentral:rRNA from 1 species
GGAGCUUGCUCCACCGGAAAAAGAAGAGUGGCGAACGGGUGAGUAACACGUGGGUAACCUGCCCAUCAGAAGGGGAUAACACUUGGAAACAGGUGCUAAUACCGUAUAACAAUCGAAACCGCAUGGUUUUGAUUUGAAAGGCGCUUUCGGGUGUCGCUGAUGGAUGGACCCGCGGUGCAUUAGCUAGUUGGUGAGGUAACGGCUCACCAAGGCCACGAUGCAUAGCCGACCUGAGAGGGUGAUCGGCCACAUUGGGACUGAGACACGGCCCAAACUCCUACGGGAGGCAGCAGUAGGGAAUCUUCGGCAAUGGACGAAAGUCUGACCGAGCAACGCCGCGUGAGUGAAGAAGGUUUUCGGAUCGUAAAACUCUGUUGUUAGAGAAGAACAAGGAUGAGAGUAACUGUUCAUCCCUUGACGGUAUCUAACCAGAAAGCCACGGCUAACUACGUGCCAGCAGCCGCGGUAAUACGUAGGUGGCAAGCGUUGUCCGGAUUUAUUGGGCGUAAAGCGAGCGCAGGCGGUUUCUUAAGUCUGAUGUGAAAGCCCCCGGCUCAACCGGGGAGGGUCAUUGGAAACUGGGAGACUUGAGUGCAGAAGAGGAGAGUGGAAUUCCAUGUGUAGCGGUGAAAUGCGUAGAUAUAUGGAGGAACACCAGUGGCGAAGGCGGCUCUCUGGUCUGUAACUGACGCUGAGGCUCGAAAGCGUGGGGAGCAAACAGGAUUAGAUACCCUGGUAGUCCACGCCGUAAACGAUGAGUGCUAAGUGUUGGAGGGUUUCCGCCCUUCAGUGCUGCAGCUAACGCAUUAAGCACUCCGCCUGGGGAGUACGACCGCAAGGUUGAAACUCAAAGGAAUUGACGGGGGCCCGCACAAGCGGUGGAGCAUGUGGUUUAAUUCGAAGCAACGCGAAGAACCUUACCAGGUCUUGACAUCCUUUGACCACUCUAGAGAUAGAGCUUCCCCUUCGGGGGCAAAGUGACAGGUGGUGCAUGGUUGUCGUCAGCUCGUGUCGUGAGAUGUUGGGUUAAGUCCCGCAACGAGCGCAACCCUUAUUGUUAGUUGCCAUCAUUUAGUUGGGCACUCUAGCAAGACUGCCGGUGACAAACCGGAGGAAGGUGGGGAUGACGUCAAAUCAUCAUGCCCCUUAUGACCUGGGCUACACACGUGCUACAAUGGGAAGUACAACGAGUCGCGAAGUCGCGAGGCUAAGCUAAUCUCUUAAAGCUUCUCUCAGUUCGGAUUGUAGGCUGCAACUCGCCUACAUGAAGCCGGAAUCGCUAGUAAUCGCGGAUCAGCACGCCGCGGUGAAUACGUUCCCGGGCCUUGUACACACCGCCCGUCACACCACGAGAGUUUGUAACACCCGAAGUCGGUGAGG